rnacentral:rRNA from 1 species
CCAGGCCUAACACAUGCAAGUCGAGGGGUAACAAGAGGAAAGCUUGCUUUUCUUGUUGACGACCGGCGCACGGGUGAGUAACGCGUAUCCAACCUGCCUAUAACUAGGGAAUAACCUUGCGAAAGUAAGACUAAUACCCUAUGAUUUCCUUUGAUGACAUCAGAUUAGGAAUAAAGAUUUAUCGGUUAUAGAUGGGGAUGCGUCUGAUUAGCUUGUUGGCGGGGUAACGGCCCACCAAGGCAACGAUCAGUAGGGGUUCUGAGAGGAAGGUCCCCCACAUUGGAACUGAGACACGGUCCAAACUCCUACGGGAGGCAGCAGUGAGGAAUAUUGGUCAAUGGGCGAAAGCCUGAACCAGCCAAGUAGCGUGCAGGAUGACGGCCCUAUGGGUUGUAAACUGCUUUUAUACAGGAAUAAAGUUAGCCACGUGUGGUUAUUGUAGGUACGUAUAAUAAGACCGGCAUUC